ACCUCUGUAGCUCAGUGGUAGAGCUUGCGAGUCGGGAACUGACAAGCCUGACAAUCGCGGGUUUGAUUCCCUCGGGGGCG